CCCAGACUCCUACGGGAGGCAGCAGUGGGGGAUAUUGCACAAUGGGGGGAACCCUGAUGCAGCGACGCCGCGUGGGUGAAGGAGCGUUUCGGCGCGUAAAGCCCUAUCGGCAGGGAAGAAGGAGGACGGUACCUGACUAAGAAGCCCCGGCUAACUACGUGCCAGCAGCCGCGGUAAUACAUAGGGGGCAAGCGUUAUCCGGAUUUACUGGGUGUAAAGGGGGCGCAGACGGCAGCGCAAGCCAGGAGUGAAAGCCCGGGGCCCAACCCCGGGACUGCUCUUGGAACUGCGCGGCUGGAGUGCAGGAGGGGCAGGCGGAAUUCCUGGUGUAGCGGUGAAAUGCGUAGAUAUCAGGAGGAACACCGGUGGCGAAGGCGGCCUGCUGGACUGCGACUGACGUUGAGGCCCGAAAGCGUGGGGAGCAAACAGGAUUAGAUACCCGUGUAU
rnacentral:rRNA from 1 species